CUACUGUGUAUGUGGACACAUAUAUAUUCUGUGUGGAAACACACACAUAGCAUAUUGCAGCAUAAAAUGUUUCUUGACAGCCCCACAAUGCUAAGAUGAAAAAAUAUCCAGGAGAGAAAAAAAAAAAAAAAAAAUCUGUCACACCAGAGCAAAAUAAUUAUUGAAUUAUAUUCAUCUUCCCACCCCUAUGUCCACUUCCCCAAAAGUUAUUAUUAUUUACAAAGCAGACAGCCUGAAAAACAGGAGGACACACGUUUGCUAUUUGGCCAGCAUCCAAACUGAAGUCAAGCACAGAAAAUAUUGAGAAUAUCUUUACCUGCCUCCGUGAAAUCAAAGAGCAUAUUUUGAAGCACCAGAAGGUAUUUUCUUGCCAGCUUUUCCAUUUGUGUUUUCUGAUUGUCUGUGUGUUUUUUCAUUUGCACCCAACUGAGCACUGCUACAUCACCAGCUCCUUUGUUCUGGCCUGCUCAUCUGCUGCAAUAACUGUUUUGUUUUCCAGUUGGUAAUUCCAUCUUCUAGCAUAUAUCAUCCUGUUUGGCUACUUUAUUCAAUUUUAUCAAGUUGCCACUGCAAAUUAUUUGCACAAAUGGAGAGUGGAGAGCUUUUUUGCCCUGCUCCAGAAAAGCAUUUGGUCAUGCUGGAGUACAUGGUGGAAAAGAAUGGCACAAGCACAGACCAGAACAACUGAACUCAAGUGUUCAAGGAGAACUAGCCAGUAGCAAAAGUGAUAUUCAUUUUACAAGGCACAGGAAACCAAGAUAGCUUAUCUUAAUUCUACUCAUCUUGGAAAAAUAUUUCCUUAAGUUAUUUUAUGAUCUGUAUACAUGCAGCAUAAAUCCUCCAUUACCCACAGUUAAUUUAAAAGAGAGGAAAGAAUAGUAAUAGAAGCACUUCAUGUUGUUUCAAAUAAGUGAAAAAUUAAACUGCAACAGCAAAUAAAUAGAGUCUAGUCUUAACAUCACAAAGAUGCACAAUCGUAACAGAAUCUGUAGAAUGGGCUAUAUGUAAUCUUGUUGUCUUCAAUUUCUGCUCAUCAAACAAAGCACUCCUAUUAAAUAGCCUUUAUAUGCUCCCUAAUUCAAAAAAAUGCCAAGAACUUAAUUUAAUCCUCAAAGAAGAUACUAUCAGAUCUGUGCCUGCUGCUGUAAACAGAUAAUAGAAAAGGCAGCUUUAAUUCACAAACAGAAAAUUUCAGGGUUUUUCCAUAACAUUAACUUCCUACACUUGCCUAUAUCUCUUUGGCACAUCUUACCCAUUUUCCAAGGAGCACAAAAAUUCAUACUCUAACACGGCUGAAAGUCUGACAGAUAAAAAGUAUCCUCGGCCAGUAUUUUAACCUUAACUGCAUGGCAUCCUUGUUUGUAGGUGUUUAAAUUACUUGACUUACUGAAAUACUUCAUUCGUUUAAGAAACCUGAAUUGCUCCACAUUAAAGAGUUUUGGAAAGCUAAACUGUCCCUAUGAGCACCAUGAUUUAUAUUUAUGCUUAUUUUUCCCUAUUGAAAUAGCUUUGUCCAGAGCCUUGACCCACUUGUUGCCCAUUAGAGUCAGCCUGAUUUGUAUCACAAACUGAUGAUAUCCCUGUACUUACUUCAAUGCUCUUUCAAUCAGGGUAAGAAGGCAAGCAGAAUGAGAGCAGCCUUUGUCUUCCAGGGGGCUUCAUUUGUCAGAGAUAUCCUAUCGACAACAGGCUGAGGUUUAUUGCUCUAUUGCUCACAGGAGACACCUGCCCAGAGGGUUACAACAGAAGGAAGUGCAGGAAAAAGGACAGCAGGACCUGGAGGAGCAGCAGGUAAUAGAGACAGGCUGAAUUAUGGCUCCUGUGCAGGGAGGGAUGAAGACUGCUCUGGUGAUGCCCAAAGGACACAGGGGUCACACAGAUUCCAGAUGCUGUGCAAUAAAACACCCUCACAACACAGCUCGAGAAAACACACAGCUACAUUUUAACUAAUUGUAGGUCUUUGGACACAUGUACCAAUCCGUCUCAUAUAAAUAUUUAGAAAAUUUAUUCACAAAAUCAUGCAUUUUUAAAUCCUGAUGUUGUUAAUCCUAGUCAGUGGUUUUUUUAUCUUUGCAAGACGGCUUUCCAGUGGAAGGAUGGGAGUCUGGGAAUUCCACAGAUGGCAGCACAGCAAGGUCCCCAUCUCCUUUCUCCACCUCCUCUAAAAGGCUGAGCAGCCCUUGAGAGUCCAGGGACAGUUGACUAAAAAUCAGUCACGCAAGAUUUUUUCCUUAAUUCACAGAAAUGGUAUGGAAGUGACAGCAACAAUUACCAGAUGAAUGCACUGUUAAGUAAUCUACAGUGAACAGGAGUGAAAUCAUGGAAUAAAUUAGAAUGAUAUUACAAGAAACUUUUAAAACCAGAUUAAAUUAGUUUGGCUUGAAAAAUCUCAUUUCAUUAUCUGAAAGUUUUUAAUAUCUGAAAUAAGUAUAAUAUCAUGCAUAAUAUUUAAAAUAUAUUCUCAUCAUUUUUAUGAUUACAUAUAAUGAACAACAUUUGAUAAUGCUUACAUAUUGAAAACUUUAAAUUACUAUUUUAAGAUAUAUAUAUAAAAUUGGGGAUGUUAGGCUUUUCCCCCCAAGAAAAUCCAUUAUCCUUCUGUUACUGGGCA